rnacentral:misc_RNA from 1 species
CCGAGUUUACAACUCCCAAACCCAAUGUGAACGUUACCAAACUGUUGCCUCGGCGGGAUCUCUGCCCCGGGUGCGUCGCAGCCCCGGACCAAGGCGCCCGCCCGGAGGACCAACCAAAAACUCUUAUUGUAUACCCCCUCGCGGGUUUUUUUUUAUAAUCUGAGCCUUCUCGGCGCCUCUCGUAGGCGUUUCGAAAAUGAAUCA